CGAAGGGGGCUAGCGUUGCUCGGAAUUACUGGGCGUAAAGCGCACGUAGGCGGACUCUUAAGUCGGUGGUGAAAUCCUGGAGCUCAACUCCAGAACUGCCUUCGAUACUGGGAGUCUUGAGUUCGGGAGAGGUGAGUGGAACUGCGAGUGUAGAGGUGAAAUUCGUAGAUAUUCGCAAGAACACCAGUGGCGAAGGCGGCUCACUGGCCCGAUACUGACGCUGAGGUGCGAAAGCGUGGGGAGCAA
rnacentral:rRNA from 1 species